rnacentral:lncRNA from 1 species
GAGCUGAUUUCCUUGAAGAGUUGUCUUGGCAUCAAAAAAGUAGCCUCAAUAAAUGGACCCUGCCUUUUAUACACAGGAUAUGUUCGCCCAAAUCUCUUGAUUUAGUUACCAUAGCUCAUGACGCACAGCUCUGUUUUUAGACACUGGAGUGUCUUGAAUGAGAAUUGACCCCGACAGACUCUGAUAUUUGAACACUGGGUACCCAGUUGGCACUGCUGAUUUGAGGUGAUUAUGGGGAAGAGGAGCUUCGUUGAUGGAAGAUCAUUACUGGGGGGCCUUCAAGCUUCUUCCCUGCAGCAACGAGAAUUCAUCAAGGCUGAUGACAGCAGCCAGGGCGAGCAAAGGGUGUGGACCUGUGGGAGAACGUGGAGACAACCCUGGAUUGAGGCAGACUAUCAUCGUUGCCUCCUUCGCUGCCCUCAACUCACUUUGGACUUCAGCAUGACCUUGAACUUCUGACCCUUUUGCACCCGGCUCCCGAGUGCUGGAAUUGAAGCAUGUGCUGCCACACAGGAAUCAAUCCUAGAGCUUGGUUUAUACAAGGCAGAAACUUUACCAGCAGGGAUACAGCCCCAGUCACCCGCUGAAUCUCUACUUUAUGCAAUGUUGUGAUCAGAACAAGAUUGUCGAUGUAAGUUAUCCCUUUCACCUUCUCUUUUGUGACGUCAGCAGGACAGACAAGGAAAUCAAGAGCUUAAGGUAACUCUGAGUUGAGAGGCAGAACCAAGAAUGUGAGAUGUCUGGUCUGGAGCUCUUCAACAUUGUCUGAGAUGGCACAAGUCCACCGCACUCAGCUUUCUGGAUGUGAGCUACAGUAAGAAUGAGAAACACUAAACAUAGAUAAUGUUUG